GUAACGGUUUCUUACCAGAAAAGGACGACUAAAAUACGACAAACAGCCGCGAUAAUACGUAGGUCCCGAGCGUUGUCCGGAUUUAUUGGGAAAAAAACGAGAGCAGGCGGUUAGAUAAGUCUGAAGUUAAAGGCUGUGGCUAAACCAUAGGACGCUUUGGAAACUAUUUAACUUGAGUGCAAGGGGGGAGAGUGGAAUUCCAUGUGUAGCGGUGAAAUGCGUAGAUAUAUGGAGGAACACCGGUGGAGAAAGCGGCUCUCUGGCUUGUAACUGACGCUGAGGCUCGAAAGCGUGGGGAGCAAACAGG
rnacentral:rRNA from 1 species